UACGUAGGGUGCAAGCGUUAAUCGGAAUUACUGGGCGUAAAGCGUGCGCAGGCGGUUGGGUCAGUCGCUGGUGAAAGCCCCACGCUCAACGUGGGAAUGGCCAACGAGACGGCCCGACUGGAGGCAGGGAGAGGCCGGUGGAAUUCUCGGUGUAGCGGUGAAAUGCGUAGAUAUCGAGAGGAACACCUGCGGCGAAGGCGGGUUGCUGGGCUGACACUGACGCUGAGGCGCGAAAGCCAGGGGAGCGAACGGG
rnacentral:rRNA from 1 species